UCUUGUUUUGGUCCUUUUAGAUAAUUGUUCUGCACAGAAUGCCUUUUAUUGCAGCCAUGACUUCUCAUGUUCUUUACUUAUGAUCGUAUGGUAAAAAGGGAAUCCUAGCCUCACCGUGUUCCUUUUAUUGAAAUGCGUUGGAAAUUAAGACUAUGGUCAGGGUUUCUUUACUGUUAUUGUUUUCUCAUGAUCUUCCUCUUUCUUUUUCUAUAAAAAAAAAGGUAAUGCACUGAGGCUAAGAUGAUAUUUUUUAAGGAAAAUUUAGUACAUAUUGUUUUAAGGAACACAUUGAUUGGUUAUUUGGCAAGACAAUGAGGUGUUCUGUGCAAAAAGAAUUAAUGGCGUAUAUAGUCCCUCUGUUUUCUGAUUUUUCUUAUUCUGGUCCCUUUAGAUAAUUGUUUUGCACAUAAUGCCUUUUAUUGCAGCCAUGACUUCUCAUGUUCUUUACUUAUGAUCGUAUGGUAAAAAGGGAAUCCUAGCCUAACCGUGUUCCUUUUAUUGAAAUGCGUUGGAAAUUUAGAAUAUGGUCAGGGUUUCUUUACUGUUAUUGUUUUCUCAUGAUCUUCCUCUUUCUUUUUCUAUAAAAAAAAAGGUAAUGCACUGAGGCUAAGAUGAUAUUUUUUAAGGAAAAUUUAGUACAUAUUGUUUUAAGGAACACAUUGAUUGGUUAUUUGGCAAGGCAAUGAAGUGUUAUGUG